rnacentral:tRNA from 1 species
UGCAUCGGCCGGGAAUUGAACCCGGGCCGCCCGUGUGGCAGGCGAGCAUUCUACCACUGAACCACCGAUGG